rnacentral:rRNA from 1 species
UACGAAGGGGGCUAGCGUUGCUCGGAAUCACUGGGCGUAAAGCGCACGUAGGCGGAUUGUUAAGUCAGGGGUGAAAUCCUGGAGCUCAACUCCAGAACUGCCUUUGAUACUGGCGAUCUCGAGUUCGGGAGAGGUGAGUGGACCUGCGAGUGUAGAGGUGAAAUUCGUAGAUAUUCGCAAGAACACCAGUGGCGAAGGCGGCUCACUGGCCCGAUACUGACGCUGAGGUGCGAAAGCGUGGGGAGCAAACAGG